GGCCAGGUAGCUCAGCUGGUAGUAGCGUGCGCCUGAAAAGUGCAAGGUCGGCGGUUCGACCCCGCCCCUGGCCAC
rnacentral:tRNA from 1 species